rnacentral:rRNA from 1 species
GACGAACGCUGGCGGCGUGCUUAACACAUGCAAGUCGAACGGAAAGGCCCUGCUUUUGUGGGGUGCUCGAGUGGCGAACGGGUGAGUAACACGUGAGUAACCUGCCCUUGACUUUGGGAUAACUUCAGGAAACUGGGGCUAAUACCGGAUAGGAGCUCCUGCUGCAGGGUGGGGGUUGGAAAGUUUCGGCGGUUGGGGAUGGACUCGCGGCUUAUCAGCUUGUUGGUGGGGUAGUGGCUUACCAAGGCUUUGACGGGUAGCCGGCCUGAGCGGGUGACCGGCCACAUUGGGACUGAGAUACGGCCCAGCCUCCUCCGGGAGGCAGCGGUGGGGAAUAGUGCACUAUGGGCGGAAGCCUGAUGCAGCAACGCCGCGUGCGGGAUGACGGCCUUCGGGUUGUAAACCGCUUUCGCCUGUGACGAAGCGUGAGUGACGGUAAUGGGUAAAGAAGCACCGGCUAACUACGUG